rnacentral:rRNA from 1 species
AACGCUAGCUACAGGCUUAACACAUGCAAGUCGAGGGGCAGCAUGGGCUUAGCUUGCUAAGCCCGAUGGCGACCGGCGCACGGGUGAGUAACACGUAUCCAACCUUCCGGUAACUCCGGUAUAGCCUUUCGAAAGAAAGAUUAAUCCCGGAUAGUAUGGUGAUUCCGCAUGGUUUCUCCAUUAAAGGAUUCCGGUUACCGAUGGGGAUGCGUUCCAUUAGGCAGUUGGCGGGGUAACGGCCCACCAAACCUACGAUGGAUAGGGGUUCUGAGAGGAAGGUCCCCCACAUUGGAACUGAGACACGGUCCAAACUCCUACGGGAGGCAGCAGUGAGGAAUAUUGGUCAAUGGGCGGAAGCCUGAACCAGCCAAGUAGCGUGAAGGAUGACUGCCCUAUGGGUUGUAAACUUCUUUUAUAAGGGAAUAAAUGUGGGUACGCGUACCCGUUUGCAUGUACCUUAUGAAUAAGGAUCGGCUAACUCCGUGCCAGCAGCCGCGGUAAUACGGAGGAUCCGAGCGUUAUCCGGAUUUAUUGGGUUUAAAGGGAGCGUAGGCGGGCGCUUAAGUCAGCUGUGAAAGUUUGGGGCUCAACCUUAAAAUUGCAGUUGAUACUGGGUGCCUUGAGUGCAGUAUAGGCAGGCGGAAUUCGUGGUGUAGCGGUGAAAUGCUUAGAUAUCACGAAGAACUCCGAUUG